rnacentral:rRNA from 1 species
AUGCACGCUGGCGGCGUGCCUAAUACAUGCAAGUCGCGCGAACAGACGAGGAGCUUGCUCCUCUGACGUUAGCGGCGGCCGGGUGAGUAACACGUGGAUAACCUACCUAUAAGACUGGGAUAACUUCGGGAAACCGGAGCUAAUACCGGAUAAUAUAUUGAACCGCAUGGUUCAAUAGUGAAAGACGGUUUUGCUGUCACUUAUAGAUGGAUCCGCGCCGCAUUAGCUAGUUGGUAAGGUAACGGCUUACCAAGGCAACGAUGCGUAGCCGACCUGAGAGGGUGAUCGGCCACACUGGAACUGAGACACGGUCCAGACUCCUACGGGAGGCAGCAGUAGGGAAUCUUCCGCAAUGGGCGAAAGCCUGACGGAGCAACGCCGCGUGAGUGAUGAAGGUCUUCGGAUCGUAAAACUCUGUUAUUAGGGAAGAACAAAUGUGUAAGUAACUAUGCACGUCUUGACGGUACCUAAUCAGAAAGCCACGGCUAACUACGUG